GAUGUUUUGUUUGUUUAUUUGAUUCGACGGUGUUAAAGAUUUCACCGCUACACAAACCCCCCUACAAACAGACCCUAAUAGUUCGCACCAAAGCUACAGUCACAGAGCAACAGUCGGAAUAACGGCGGCUUGUGGCCAAACAUAACGGGUCCAUAGUGUCGGCCACACGAAGGCGUUUCAACACUUAUAAAGUCACUUAAAACCGCUCAAUGUUUGUGUUUAUAACCAGAUCACUUCGGAACGGUUAAAAUAAAACGCACUUAUAACCCUUUAAGCUUUAGCUGUAGCACCGACGGCUAAAGUUUCACACGAACUCCUGAAAAACACGUCAUAAAGCGGUAAAACGUACAAAAAAAAGUUAAGUUUAAACGCCCGGAUAUCGUUUUAAAGACAGAUUCGGACGUCGUUGUUCCACCUCGAGAAGUUUGUACCAAUCUUGAGGUAAAUGCUAAUCAUGCUAACAACAGCCGUGCUAGCAGCACUGAGGGGAAAAGUUUGUCCUCGCGCUCGGAUUACAACUUUGCGAGCUGGAGAAGGAGCUUUCGUCAUUCAACAGCUGGGAAAAUCUGGCUUCGCUGGUGUGAAACCAAGCACCGUCAACAGGCUGCUAAUCUUUUGUUCCAGAGAGGAAGGCAGAGGGACACAUUCCUUCAGUCACCGAUAACAGGAAGACAAACAGUGAAGCUAGCACACACAGUGGAAUCCAGCCGGAGCUGGUACAUCUGUGGAUGCCUCAGGAUCUUCACAAGGACCUUAAUGUUCAUCACAGGCGAGUGGAGAGAAAUUUGCACUAACCAGCACUAGAUAUUAAUGUGCAGGUUCUCCUGUUAAACCCCUACAGAACAAAAAUGGCAGUAGGUCGACCGGCUGUGCGUGUGUAUGUGCUGCUAUAGAAAAUGUGCACUCUUACCUCACAUGUGUUCCUGGUUCACCACGAUCCUGAUCAGGAUAAAGAAGUUACCGACAUUUCAUUAACAGAUUAAUGGAGAAGAUUUUUUCGCUUAUGUGGUGCCAAGAGAUCAUCACAUCAUCACACAGGUCCCAAUAAGACGCUAGAUUUACUUGUAUAUCAGCCUAUUGGACCGUACUUGUUAAAAAACAUUUUAAAUCUCCUUAUACUCACUUACACAGUAAUCAGACUCAUUUUUCAUGCUGUCCUCCAUGUUUGUUUUUCUUCCUUGCUUGCGCUGCAACUUGCGCUCUGAUUGUUUAGCAGGUAAAACUGUAAUCUACUUUGUACCUGAUGCUAAUAACUGCCGUUUGCUCUGUUUAACUAUCUCAGCUCGUGUCUUUUCUCCUUUCCGUCUCCUCUCGGCUAAUUUUGUCUUCUCUCUCCACCUCUCCUCUAGUCUCCUUUCCUUUCUCAUGUCAAGUGGCCUCGACGUUUUUUUUUGCAGUUCAUUAUUUCACUCAUUGCUCAGAGCACAAUGUAUGGACUGUGACCUCUGGCCUCUGGCCUCUGAUCCAGAACAGGACAAGAUACAGUAAUUGAACCCUUGCACCAUGAUGAGGGGAGUUACAGACCUCAUGGGUAUCACAGGCUGGUAUCAAAUUUCAGAAAAUAAAUGUGUGUGUGUGUGUGUGUGUGUGUAAGAGAGAGUGAGAGAGUCACAGCUAAAUCCUGAACACAGUUCUGUUGAUAAAUAAGUCUCUGUUGUAACAGAGCUUGCACGUGUUCAGUGGCUGCUGUUGGGACGACCGUGGCCCUGCAACUACGAAGACAAAUAGCUCCCAAAGGGCAAUUUAUUCCUGGUACCAACCCCCCCACCACACACACACACACACUCUCUCUCUCUUCUCCUUCCCUCGUGUGUUUCCCACCUGUUUUUCUGCAUCAGCCUCUCAGUUUUCUGUCUGUUCAAGCCUGCUUUCUUUCCCUUUCUCUCCUGUCCCUUCACUGUAUGAUUCUCUCUUUGCAUUUCUGUCCAUUUCCAUGCAGCCGUACUGCUGGUGACUGUGGAAUCAGAUCCCAUCUGCUUUAUCCGUCCAUUAGAAAUGCUGUGUAUGAACACACUGUGUAUGUUGUGUAUAAUUCGCAGACUGUCUUAUACACAUUUAAGAAUUAGAAUAAUAUCCCAAC